GCAACGAGCGCAACCCUUAUCUUCAGUUGCCAGCACGUGAUGGUGGGGACUCUGAAGAGACUGCCUCCGUAAGGAGUGAGGAAGGUGGGGAUGACGUCAAAUCAUCAUGGCCUUUAUGCCUAGGGCUACACACGUGCUACAAUGGCAAGUACAGAGGGUUGCGAAGGGGUGACCUGGAGCUAAUCUCAGAAAGCUUGUCCCAGUUCGGAUCGAAGUCUGGAACUCGACUUCGUGAAGGUGGAAUCGCUAGUAAUCG
rnacentral:rRNA from 18 species